rfam:Gossypium hirsutum cultivar TM-1 unplaced genomic scaffold scaffold3860.1, whole genome shotgun sequence
AGGUCAGUAGCUCAAUUGGUAGAGUAGCGGUCUCCAAAAUCGAAGGGUGGGGGUUCAAUUCCCUCCUGGCCUG